CACCACCUCUAUCUUUUUCAUCUUCUUCAGUUUUUUUUUUUCAUUAUCUAUUUCUGUUUCUCUCUUCUUCUUCUUCUUCUUCUUCUUCUUCUUCUUCUUCUUCAGAUAUCAUGCUUGCCACUCUCAUUGUCACCCUUUCCUUCCCAAGCUUCUAUUCAAACCCAGAAGCCAUCCACUGCUCCUUCUCCUACCAGCGACGAUCUCUUUGUCACCGGACAACCUUUCUGAGUCAUUUAGUGAUGCCGUUCCAGGACUCAGAGCUGAAGGAGGCGCAUACCGGAGCGUUAGGCUCAGGGUAACCGCCGCAAGGAGGUGCGUUGGGUCAACGUCAUUGGCGACAUUCACAGGAACAGAGGAGAUACGUCGAAGCCUUCAAACGGCUCUGAAUCCGAAUCAAUUACGAAGUUCUGCGAAAAUACUUGCUGGGAAAGGACUUGCUCCCUACCUGCCAAUCCCUUAGUGAGAUGUACCUUCGCCUCAAGCAGUUCUCUGAUGCUCUACCUUACCAGAAGAUGCAGUUAGACCUUGCAAGGAAUGCCCCUGCCAAGGUUUCCUUAGUUUUCUUGCUCUUUGCGGCAUUCUCCACUACGUUAGGGCAAUGAGUGACGGGUUUUGAGUGAUUGGAAGGGUAGAGUUGAGGGUUCCUCCAUUGGUCUACCUUUUGGUUUACGUUACAUUUUCGAGCGUGAAUGGAUGUUGAAAUUUUCCAUUGUUCAGGGACAUGGAUUGAAGACCAAAUGCAUUAGAUGAAUGAUGAAUCUGAAUUUUUUACAAGGGUAUACCGUAUUUGAAGCUUGCUAAUGAGAGAACCUAAGUGAUUGUAUGGAUGUUCAGAUAAAGAGAUGAGCUGCAGGAAAACCAAAAACCAAUAUGCAGUCACUGCUAUCAUCAUUACAAGAUGGGUUUGUUUGCCAUUGGUAAUGGAUGCGAGAAGUUAAGGAAUCUAAUAUUAAGUCACAAGGGUUUGGAAGCAAUUGCUACCGGAUGCAAGGAACUUGCACAUCUUGAAGUCAAUGGAUGUCACAACAUUCGAGCUUUGGGGCUAGAAUCCAUUGAAAGAUCUUGCCAGUAUGUAUGUAAAAUAAGGAAUGAAUUAACCAUUCAAUAAAUAGGCAACAUAAGGAAGCAUGGGACACAUGUUUGGCCUCUUUAUAUUUACAUUUGGUCAAGUUUUUCAUUGCUUGCUAUGUGUGUUUCUCUGUUUAUUUUUCGUUUGUGGUGCUAAGCUCGGCUUUCUAUUGGUAGACGUCUUAUUGAGUUGGCAUUAUUUUACUAUCAAAGAAUUGUUGAUGUUGGUCUUCUUCAGGAUGGAGAAGGAUGCAAGUUCCUAUAAACUCUUCAACAGGUAGAUUACUCAAACCUUGGGGAUGGUGCUAUAUUUGGUAUAUCUAUUGGCUGUAGGAAUUUAAAGGAACUUCAUAUCCAUUGCUAUUAUGAGGUGCUUCAUUUGCAUGCCUAUUUGGUUUACCAUGUUAAACUUCAUUUAAAAACGAAUAUUUUUGGGAUGGCUCGCUUUCACAAUGCUCUAUGUGUAAUGUGAUAUAGGAGAAUGACUCUUAACUCAUUUUGUCUCAACACACAAUUUUACUAAUUUUUCCUUUAUCUAAAUGGCUUCUUUUGGUGAUUCCACAUUCAAAACUAAUGUUAGUCAAUAAAAUCUAAAAACCAUGAGAGUUUGAGACCAGUGAGCUACAUGAAAAUGAAUGUUAAAAUGCAGUAUUUAACUUGGUUACAGCAAUUUAUUCACGUCCCAUGCAUAAUCUACCAUUCCAUUUUUAUCUGUUUCAUCGUCCAAUACUGUAUUCCCAUUCUGCACACACAUGAAAGUGUGUUACGUUUUCUAUAUAUGAUAUAGUAAAUUAAUUGGUAUAUGCUAUGAUGUUUAUGCAACUUUGGCAAAAAUUUAAAAACGUUGCUGAAAUUAAAACAUAUUUUUUAGUAUGUUACUCAUUUUUGUUGAGCUUGAAGAUUAGAAGUGUUUCAUCCAAAUACAGUUUUAGCAUUAGUCUUAGGCUUUCAGCCUUUUUUCUCUUAUCUUUUAAUUCAGUUUUUCCCAAAUUUUUGAAAGUUGCAGAUGAUUCUGUCACAAGUUGAGGUUAUUACUGCUUGAUUUCGAUGGCUGAUUUAUAUAGCUUUAUUGCAUCAGGAAGUUACUGUAGAAUCUUUUAAUCCAUCACCCUUAUUUUUAUUUUUUUUUUCUAUUUUCAGAUUUUCUUAUUAUUAUUUGAUUCAUUGGCUAAAAUAUUUAAGAUUGCUUAGCACUCGAAUUUUCAGACAGAUUUAAACUAUGAAUGUAGUUGAGUUUGAGUUUAGUUUUGAUAAUUUGGGAUUAGGUAUAUUUUGAAUUGUACUCAGAAAAUAAAAAAUAGGA